UACGAAGGGUGCAAGCGUUAUUCGGAUUGAUUGGGCGUAAAGGGUGCGCAGGCGGUAUAUUAAGUCAAUUGUUAAAUUUCCCUGCCUAACAGGGACUCAGCAAUAGAUACUGGCAUACUUGAGGGUGGAAGAGAGAAGUGGAAUUCUCGGAGUAGCGGUAAAAUGCGUAGAUCUCGAGAGGAACACCGAUGGCGAAGGCAGCUUCUUGGUCCAUUUCUGACGCUCAUGCACGAAAGCGUGGGGAGCAAACAGG
rnacentral:rRNA from 1 species